ncrna:Pseudomonas sp. HPB0071 ivy-DE RNA
UAGGCCAAGGGGCUUGGGUGCUUUGCGGUAAGAGGAGCAUCCUCAGGGUACAGGGAGUACCUUCGUCGUUACGAGCCAGGCUGGACGAUAU